rnacentral:rRNA from 2 species
UGGGGAAUUUUGGACAAUGGGGGAAACCCUGAUCCAGCCAUGCCGCGUGAGUGAAGAAGGCCUUCGGGUUGUAAAGCUCUUUCAGCCGGAACGAAACGGUCACGGCUAAUACCUGUGACUACUGACGGUACCGGAAGAAGAAGCACCGGCUAACUACGUGCCAGCAGCCGCGGUAAUACGUAGGGUGCAAGCGUUAAUCGGAAUUACUGGGCGUAAAGCGUGCGCAGGCGGUUUUGUAAGUCAGAUGUGAAAUCCCCGGGCUUAACCUGGGAACUGCGUUUGAAACUACAAGGCUAGAGUGUGGCAGAGGGGGGUGGAAUUCCACGUGUAGCAGUGAAAUGCGUAGAGAUGUGGAGGAACACCGAUGGCGAAGGCAGCCCCCUGGGUUAACACUGACGCUCAGGCACGAAAGCGUGGGGAGCAAACA